ACAGAAAACGCUGCAUCUUCUGUUUUAAGAAAGAGAAUUUUUGGAGUCUUUAUACAUAUUUAAGUAUUUUUUAAAGAGAGUUACUACUAAGUAUGAUAUUUCAACAUCAUAUACAUGUAUUAAUUAUGAUUUUACAGACAUGUCAAUAAAAUCAGGUGUUAAUUUUAAAAAUUGUAAAAAAAAAAAAAAGAGAAAAAAAAAAGAAGCAACGCAUGAAAUUAUAUGCAAUUAUAAAUCGAGCGUUUGUUUUCUAGAAUAGGAUUUGAUACCAAUAUGUCAUAUUUCCAAAAAGAAAUAUUCAAACCAGUUUUGUUAAUCUUCCAGCCUGAGAACAAAGUAUGCUUUGCUAGCGCGUUUCCCUUUGUGACCUUGACUUUUACUUCAUCGCCUAAACUGAGUUUAAGAACAGCAAAAGAAGUUGUCGUGUCGUAAUAUGAGGACGCUUGGUCGGCCCUUGACAAUGCUUGCUGUACACCAUUCACAAGAAGCACAGCUUCCGUUCUUUGGCCGUACGUCUCUAUGGUCCAGGAAAAUACAUACAGUCCGGGGGUAGGUACAGUAAACACUCCUGUGGUGUUGUCGUAUCCCCCGCCGACGUUUGUAAUCACGUGGUCAAAAAUAACCACAGCGUUAUUUGUAGGACUGUAGGCGACAGCGUGGAAGGCAACGUAAUCUGGCAUUGCUAAAACAAUAGAUUUACAGCAAAUUUAAUACUUUAAAUUGACAAUAACCUACACGUAGCUCUCUAUAUACGGAUAUUAACGAAUGAUUUAAUCACCAACGCAAUGAUAGCUAAAACUGGUCGUACAUUUCAAUGUUGUUGACAACACAACUACAUCUACUGUUUGGUAAAUAUCGCAUGUUACCUGGUUUGUUGACGUUGUUGACGGUGGCGUUGGACGCUGUAGAACAGUCAGAAUUACACAGAUCCCCGUCACAGCAGUGAAUACACAGCCCCGACAGGUCACGCCUCCUGCCAACCACUGGACCCGUGAAAUGGGGGAGACAACCCUUUAAGGGAACACAUUCAUUAUCACAUAUUGCAUAUUAGGAUCUAAUCGAUUACUGGAAUUCACAAUGAGCAAUCUUGGAAGGUAACUUACCAUUAUGGAUUCGCAUUUGGAUGUGAAAUACCUUUUUCCAAAGAUGGAUUUUUCGUGAAUAAAACAUUUCUGGAAAAAAUUAAGAUUAUGCAUGUAAAUGCUUUAAAAUCAAAACAUUUCCAAAAUUGACCGUAAGUUGUAUUUUUACAAUACUCAUUAAAUUUUUGUGGAUAUUUUUUAAUAUU
rnacentral:sRNA from 1 species